rnacentral:rRNA from 1 species
AUUGAACGCUGGCGGCAGGCCUAACACAUGCAAGUCGAGCGAGCGGCGGACGGGUGAGUAAUGUCCGGGAAACUGCCGGAUGGAGGGGGAUAACUCCUGGAAACGGUAGCUAAUACCCCAUACCAUCAGAUGUGCCCAAAUGGGGUUAGCUAGUAGGUGGGGUAACGGCUCACACAGCCGACGAUCCCUAGCUGGUCUGAGAGGAUGACCAGCCACACUGGAACUGAGACACGGUCCAGACGCCUACGGGAGGCAGCAGUGGGGAAUAUUGCACAAUGGGCGCAAGCCUGAUGCAGCCAUGCCGCGUGUAUGAAGAAGGCCUUCGGGUUGUAAAGUACUUUCGGCGGGGAGGCGUUACCCACAGAAGAAGCACCGGCUAACUCCGUGCCAGCAGCCGCGGUAAUUC